GGGUCAGUAGGUUGGUCGUGCCACCGGUACGUACUGGUCUCACUGAUUCCUCCUUCCUGAAGAACCGUAAUGCCAUUAAUUUGGUGUUGCGGGGAAACAGGACUGUUACUCUGAAAAAAUUAGGGUGUUUAACGCAAGCUAACGCUUGAAUACAUUAGCAUGGAAUAAUGAAAUAGGACGAUCGAUCCUAUUUUGUUGGUUUCUAGGAUUGACGUA
rnacentral:rRNA from 1 species